rnacentral:rRNA from 1 species
UGAGGAAUAUUGGUCAAUGGACGAGAGUCUGAACCAGCCAAGUAGCGUGCAGGAUGACGGCCCUAUGGGUUGUAAACUGCUUUUGUUUGGGAAUAAUCGACAUUACGUGUAAUGUUUUGCAUGUACCAUUCGAAUAAGGACCGGCUAAUUCCGUGCCAGCAGCCGCGGUAAUACGGAAGGUCCAGGCGUUAUCCGGAUUUAUUGGGUUUAAAGGGCGUGUAGGCGGUUGGUUAAGCGUGUUGUGAAAUGUAGAUGCUCAACAUCUGACUUGCAGCGCGAACUGGCUGACUUGAGUACACACAACGUAGGCGGAAUUCAUGGUGUAGCGGUGAAAUGCUUAGAUAUCAUGACGAACUCCGAUUGCGAAGGCAGCUUACGGGAGCGCAACUGACGCUAAAGCUCGAAGGUGCGGGUAUCGAACAGG